GCAUCAGUAGCACUGUUAGCAUCCAAAGAUGCAAACAGUUUAGGGGAAGGAAGUGAAGAUGAAACCAUAGCAGAUAGCCGGGAGGGUGAAAGUGUGCGUAGGUUACGUCGAAAGAUGACAUGUGGAGUGGUCUGGAAACAACAAAAGAAGGAUUUACACAAGCUCCAGUCUGGAUCCAGAACACCUGAGAAGAGCUGAUGCUGACCCUAAGAGGACCUCAGAUGAUGCUAACCCUGAAUCAACAAACAGAACUAACAAAUAUUGCUAUAAGUGUGACUGCAUCAUAUAAUAAUUAUUAAUUAAUAAUAUUAAUAAUGUUCAUCGUCUGGCUGACUACGUCUUGUAUUAAUUUUUAAAAAAAUCCUGUCAAACUUGCACAAACUGAGAGUCACCACCAUAAGCUACUACUAAAUAUUGUAGAAACAUAAUUUUCUGUAAAGUUGCUUUGUAACGAUUUGUAUUGUAAAAAGCGCUAUACAAAUAAACUUGAAUUGAAUUCUAUACCCCAACUGAAAUGAUGCAUUUUAAAUUAGAAUAUUAUUUAAGCACAAAAUUCGAAUUAAGUUUUUCAGCCAUUUUGACAGCCCUAAAAAACUAACUAAAUUGCUAAAAUUAAAACUGCAAAAAUAAAAAUAAAAACAACUUCUAAAUAUUGAUAAAUACUACAAUAGCAUAUAAAUACUACUAAAACAACAUUGGCCUCAAGAAACAGUGACCAGGUUUUAGAAAAUACCACUCUACAGAAACAGCCCUGGUAAAGGUUUUAAAUGAUAUUUUAUUAACUGCUGACUCUGGCAAGUCUGCGGUGCUAGUGCUAAUGCAGUGUUUGACACAGCUGACCAUGCAGUUCUCAUUUCACGACUUUCGGAAAAAUGCUCUUAAAAGGUUUCAGUCUUAUCUUUAUAACAGAAGCUUUUUUGUUAAUAUUGGAGAAUUCAGGACAGGUGCUGCUCCUCUUACUUGCGGCGUCCCACAAGGCUCUAUCCUUGCUCCAAUUUUAUUUUCACUUUAUAUGCUUUGGAAACUCAUCAGUUUUGAGUGCGUGCACGAUCUUUGACUAAAUUCUGUGAAUUCUUUCAUCAUAAACAACAAAGCGCUGAUGCAUGUACAAUGUUAGUAAGAGAUUAAUUUCACAGUGUAUACAGCUUCAGUGACUAUAACAAUAGUUUUUUAUUUUGUUCAUUUUUUGAGAGUAAUAAAACUCACGAUAGAUCAAUGUUAGUGAUAAUGUCACUUUCUAUAUAUAAUUUAUUCGCUGUUCGAAUAACCGUGGAAAAGGAAAUGUUAUAUAGCAUAAUUAUACAUUUCUGAUGUUCUUAUUAAAUUGUAAUAAUGUUAAAUACAAAUUCAGCGCCAUUAAACAUAUGUGAUCUUAGACAACAAAACCAGUCUCAAAUCUGAAAGCUGAAUAAAUCAUCUUUCCAUUGAUGUAUGGUUUGUUAUGAGGACAAUAUUUGUGUGAGAU